rnacentral:rRNA from 1 species
AGUGAACGCUGGCGGUAGGCCUAACACAUGCAAGUCGAACGGCAGCACAGUAAGAGCUUGCUCUUACGGGUGGCGAGUGGCGGACGGGUGAGGAAUUCAUCGGAAUCUACUUUUUCGUGGGGGAUAACGUAGGGAAACUUACGCUAAUACCGCAUACGACCUACGGGUGAAAGCAGGGGAUCUUCGGACCUUGCGCGAAUGAAUGAGCCGAUGUCGGAUUAGCUAGUUGGCGGGGUAAAGGCCCACCAAGGCGACGAUCCGUAGCUGGUCUGAGAGGAUGAUCAGCCACACUGGAACUGAGACACGGUCCAGACUCCUACGGGAGGCAGCAGUGGGGAAUAUUGGACAAUGGGCGCAAGCCUGAUCCAGCCAUACCGCGUGGGUGAAGAAGGCCUUCGGGUUGUAAAGCCCUUUUGUUGGGAAAGAAAAGCAGCAGGUUAAUACCCCGCUGUUCUGACGGUACCCAAAGAAUAAGCACCGGCUAACUUCGUG